UUCAUUCCCAACCUUACCCGACAUCCUCUCUUUCCCAAAUCUCUCUCAUUUCUCUCACUAUCCGACCCUGCCAGUCACAAAUCAUUGCACAAUUCGCGCAAGGUCACAAAUUCAAACCCCAAAUCACUCAAUUUGUCCCCUACAUCCACAAAUCCUGUCGAUACUUCCAUUUUCAUUACCAAAAUCCAAAAGCCCUAAUUUGAACACUAGACCUAAAUAGUUCUACUGAGAACAGUCUGUUCUCCCAUCGUUUUUUCAAAUCCAUGGCAUGCAUGACCGUGUCUUUGACUUCAUUAUCAUUAUUUGACCUCUGGACAUUUGGGCUUUGUACGAUGGGUCUUCGCCUUCAACGGCCAUCUCCUCGUGCCCAGGUAAAUACGUGUUACUUUUUCCCUUUGUUCUUCACUAAUUUCACCUCUAUUGAUGUCAUCAUCCGACUAUCGUCACCUUCCACUACCGAUUUAAAAUCUAAUCGGAACCCUAAGGCUUAAUGCCACUAUAAACGAGGCAUUCAAUGUCCUCACCUAACACACAUCUAAUACAAUCAGAAACACAAAAGAAAGAAAAGAAAAGGAUUAAAAUUUGAGGUUUUCUCGCUAGUCCAAUAAUAAUCUUUGAUUUGUUUUGUUUCCUUUAUCUUUUAUUCUCCGGUAUGAGUUUCAACAGCUGUUGGUCUUGAGUUUGGAUCCUUAAACAACUGUUGAAUUGCCUCUACUUGGUUUGCUGCUCGAUAGAAGGUAAGUACAUAUUGACCCCUUUUUACUUUGAAUUAAUCGUUUGGUUCUAUGGUUUCCUAGUUAUUUCUCUAAUUGUUCGUGCUAGAUAUUAAACUAUGUUUAUCAUGACUUGCCUCAUAUAUAUAUAUAUUGUUUUCACCGUUGAGUUAGGGAUUUUUUGAUCAAGAUAUGUUGUAUUGUUAUCAAACCUAUGCUGUCGAAUUCUAUUCUUAUCAUAUGAUUAAUAAAAAAUGCCUCUAUGUUAAAUGAUGCUCUUGUGGUCAAGCCUCUAUGACUAUUUAAAGUAAUCUCCAUGUUGUUUUUGUGUAUAACUGGCCUCUGUUAGUAAAGUAACACUCGUAUAAGCUUUAUCAUGUUAGCUGAGCCAGUUGAAUCAUAUUCUUGAACUUUUCUUUGUGUUUCUGUAUCCAGAUCAACUUGAUCCUCCUACUUGUGAUAUUGUACUGUUCUUAUAAAUAUUUUUCCUGAAGCCUAUGUAUUUUACCUGAUAACUAGCUGAUAAGUUUGUAGUUGAUAACUUGCCUAUUCUGCAUAUUCAAUGAUCCAUAUAUGGCUAUUAUUCUUUUAUCCUAUUAAAGCUUCAUUGAUCUAGAUCCUAUGCUGAUGAUGUUAUAUGUAUUCUUUUCUGCUAACCUAGUAGUUGUGAUAAAAUUAGGCUUCUAAAAUCUUUCUUGAGAACACUGUUAAUACUUGCCAACACUAAGCCAUUUGAUAUUUGUAAUGUUUUGCUGUUCUGAUUUAGUUCUUACCUCUCAUAUUAACUUGUUAGACUCUAAAUAGCAGCCUGCUUAUGUCAUUGUAAUAGCUCUAUGUGCCCUCUGUGAUGACUUAAAACCAUGUAAUGAACCUUGUUAAUGUACGAAGGAACUUGCAUUCAUGACUAAACAUAACUUGAUUAGGAUAAAACUCUACAGUGAGUACUGAAACUUGCCAUCUGGUGACUGUUUGAGUUGUAUGAGACUUCUGUUGUUAUGUUAUAAACUUAUUGUACCUGAAUGCACACCUGCCAUUAUUAAUUUGGUUAAGUUCACAGACUAUCACCUGACUUUAAUUUGAAGGAUUAUAUGUUUGCACCUAUGUGUCACAAUUCUGAUCUUACCGUGGUAAUACACUGGUCUGAGUUUAUGAUUAUUGUUUGUCAAAAGGCAUGUCUCUAAUGCUUAGGAUGAUCUGUUAUCAUGACUCUCACAGCUAGGCUUAGCCAUGACUUCGCACUAUCCUGAUCCCUAUAUGUCUGUCAAGUUAACUUGUAUCCAACCAUGUGUAGAGCUUUGUUGAGAUACUAUGCUAGUGAACCUAUUUACAUGCCCAACUGUUAGCUCAGUAUGACCUGUUUGCCUUGAUAAGUUAACGGGAAUGUCACUCACCAGCUAAGCUUACUCUUAACUAUACUGAAGCAAAAUUGCAUAUGCACUGUUCUUAUACUCUGAACCUACAUAAAAGAACUCUGAGCAUCAAACCUACAGCGAAGAUAGUAAAAUACGUACUUGAACUCAUCCUUUCAUAGUGCUGGACAAUUACUAUUUCUUAGCCGAAAGACAUGAGUAAUGAAGUAUGCCUAUUGCUUGCAUUUUUGUUAUCUUGUGUGAUUAUGUCCCAAUAGUGACUCAUGCCUACUGUAGUGUCCUGUUCUUAUACUCUAUGCUUGAUAUGAGGUUCUCUAAAGUCAAUAUUGUGCCCUUGGUUGUUUUCUAUGCUUUGAUAAUGAAUUACAAUAUUCCAUUGGUUCACAGCUGCUGAAUAUUUGUGUGUUUGAACCUUUACAGAAUUUACAAUGACUUCCACAUCUACUGUUUAUGUCUUGGCAGUAUGAAAUUGCUCUGUUGAUUCUUUAUUUGUGUUUAAGCCUUUGAGAAAGAAUAUAAGUAAGUGGUUAAUGGUAUUUGGGUGUGAAACCUAGUUGUGAAUAAGGCACCCUUCCCUGACACAAUCACUGCUCGGGGUCCAUAAGACACUCGUGAACUCUGAAGUGCGAGGGGUUCACAAGAGUAUUUUAUCCAUAAACAAAGAUUUAACCAAAGACUUUAAUUACUAACUCCUAUUAAUACUCAUAGGAUUAACAUAAAUAACAUCUGUCCCAUCGCAUUCUUUAGUUCUUUUUCUUUUUUGUCUUAAUCUCUAUCUUAUUUUAUUUUUAUAUUUGAUAUAUACUAAAUUGUCUCUUAUUUCUUUCUGUACAUGCCUCGAAUUGGGCUCACAACCCAAUUGCAAAUACAGCCUGCUCCUUCUCCAUGCAUUGUGGGUCUGCUACCUUGAUUCAAAUCCUGCUUGGCCUAGCUAGCUUAUCAGCCUAACAGUCAAAGAGUCCACCUUCUUCCUUCCUUUACCUUUAAUGAUAUUCAUCGAUGUUUGCUACUUUACAUGUAAAUAUAUCUCUGAAUGACUAACUUUUCUAUUGGAUAAAUUUUGAUAUUUUGAUUAUCUAGGAACAUAGGCAAACCCCAACUAGUAGGUAAAAGCUAAAGUAAGAAUCCUGCUCGCCUUAGUUUAUUUUGAUCGCUAAUUUGAAGCUUAAUCUUUUUAGUAAAAUAAAAGUUUUAUCUUGUUGUACUAACAAUUUUCAAUGAGUUCUUGACUUCGACAGAUUCAAAAGCAAAACGGACCCUCUUGAAAAUCAAAACUUCGAAAAUAAUUGCUAAGGUAUUUUCAAGAAGAAAAACCAAACACAACCAAUGCUUAUAAAUUAACGGUCCUCAACGAGUUUCAAAUACAAGAUUUCUGUUGAAAUUGUAAGGUAUACCCAUCCCAAUUUGAGGUAUAUCUUCAAAUACUUCUCUUAUUCUAUUAAGUUUUAAAAACCACAUUUUCCAAAACACAACUUUUCUUCAAACAAAAGAUUUCUUACAAGAUUUUUUCUCGAAAAUAAAGCAUAUCUAGUUUCCAACUUAAUAAAUGUACAUAUAUAUUUUAAAGGGCGAUUUCUUUUCAAGAUUAUAAAACUCAAGAACUUGAACUUAUUUUCAAAGUACAUAUACAUACCUUUUCUUUAAUAGUGAACUUUUAGGAUAUUUUCACGGUCUUUAAAAAUAUUACUAAGCAGAAUAUAGACAUUCUUUCUUCGGACCUAGACUAAGACUAAAGGGCUACCUCAGGUAGAUUUUAAAGGGUGCCUAACAUCUUUCCCUUGGAAUAACUAGAACCCUUACCCGAAUCUCAGCAGUUAGCAGGCCGUUAGGAUAAUGAUCUUAUAAACUCAUAGGUACCCUAAUAUACCUUAAAAUAUUAGGUGGCGACUCUCUUUAAUCAACUUCAGAUGAACCAUUAGUUGUAUUUUGUUUUGACUAGUGCAAAAUAGGGUGCAACACUUAGAUUCUGACCUUAACAGAUUUAGGCUAGACUUGAACUUUGAGGAUGUUUGUUAUAUUCUACUUUAAUCAUGCUUAACCUGCAGAUACAUGUUUACUUGCUUUAUUUUACUUUCUUAUUCUUUUCAACAUGCUGCACAUGCUUACAUGUUUACUUACAUUUACCGCUUUACCACAAUUAUCUGUUACUGCUUUCUACACUGUCAUCACGUCUCUCCAAUUGAGUCUUUGCCGUAUACAAUCACACACAAAUGACACGCGAGGGUUGUCUUUUACACCCUUCCAAACCUUCAUUCAAAACUCUCUAAUUUUAGAGAAUGACUUUGUCAGGUCAACUAACAAAACGUUUUGUAGUUAUUAAGUCCAACUCCAACAUUAGGAAACAUUUUACUCUUAGCAUACAUAGGUCAUGCUGCAUAAACCUUAGGUGAGUUAGUCCUUGGUAUUGACUCACGAUUAGAAAAGUCAUCUUAAUAACAAUGGGUCAUGCACCCAACGAUAUGCCUUUUGUGGAAUGACGAACCAAUCCACAUAAGACACUAAAGAUCUGAAUCAAAAACUUACCAAACCUUUCACCUCUUUAGAUGAAAAUCAACCGUAACGUCCCCGAGAUUAACAUGGUCAUGGGUUAACCUUACAAGUUAAAGUAGUGGUGGAGGAACAUUCGAUGGGAACACGGGAACGAGAUAGAAUACACCUGGGAGCACUGACCGCCUUGAUGAACAUCGGAGCUGACAAAGUCUUUACUAGGCUGCUAAUAGAUGUUUGGGACCCGGCCAAUGUGGUCUUCAAAUUUUUUAAUUGUGAGUUGACGCCAAUACUAGAGGAGAUUACCAGCUUCACGAAGUUACCAUUCGCUGGGCAAAAACCAAUACUGCUGGUUGUCCUGCCAGACAAGCAAUACAUGUUCCUUCAUGCACUAAGUCUGACAAGCAACAAGAAAUUGAGAAGCGUCGAAGAUGGACGGGUGAGUUUGGACCAGCUAUUUGACAUAUUCGGACACCAGGAGAGCUAUGAGUGGCAUCUUGAAGAAUUCCAGUGCGAUCAAGUAACAUGGGAGAGCCUCCGCCCCUUAUCCUUUUCUUUGGCAUUGUUGGGACUGUUGUUUUUCCCAUAAAGAAAGGGAAGAAUCAAUAUCAACCUACUGCCCCUGGUGUUAGCAACCUUCCGGGGAAAUUUGCAACUCACCCUCAUUCCUAUGAUACUAUCAGAGACAUUCCGAGCACUAUAAGCAUGCUCAAGAGGAUAUGAUUUCAUCAGAGGCUACAACUUGCUACUCCAGAUAUGGGCCACAUAACACUUCUUUCAGAGGGAGGAAACCGUUCAAUACUUUAUUGGCAUCAGUAACAUGAUCUACAACCAUAAUGAAAUGAUGAGGCUUUGGACUACACCGCAUGGCCAGGAGUAAUGGCGGAAAAUGUUGGCCCAUCUGAGUGAGGAAUGCAUAAAUUAGAAACUUUCAUGGUUAGGUGGCAGAGCAAUCUUGAGAAGCCCAGGGAAGUACUUCAUUGAGUUGGUAGGAUUGGAAGGGAUUUAGCCGUAAGCACAUCCGAGGGUUCUAAGCAAUUUGUUCUAAUUCAAGAUGUGCCUCGCUGGUCAAGGACAUCAGAUAAAUUCUGAUUUCUGUGACGACCCAAUAGGUCGUUUUGUGGUUUAGCCCUUAUUUUCAUGUUUUGGGACCUCCACUAGCUUAAUUUGGUGAUUCUUGAUUUGUGUGCAUGGUACGUGUAUUUUUAUGGAAAGUUUUUACGUAAAACAUUGAAAAAAAUAUGAUUUUUGGCUUUAAAAAUAACUUGAGUUGACUACGGUCAAUAUUUUGGAUAAACGACCCCAUAUAGAUGUUUUUGACGAUUAUGGUAGGUCCCUAUUGUGAUUUUGGACUUAGGCGUAUGCCUGGAAUUAAAUUUGGAGGUCCUUCGGUUAAUUUGAUUCGUUUUUCUGAAUGUUAGCAAUUUGACUGUUUGUAAAAUUUUUAGGUUUGACCGUAGGUUGACAUUAUUGCUAUUGGGUUAAGUUUUUGUAAUGGGACUUGGAAUAGGUCCGUUUUUCUAUUUGAAACUUGUUUGCAAAAUUUAGUGCAAUUCAGAGUUGGUUUGAUAGGAUUCAGACGCUUGGUUGUGAUUCUAGAAGUUCUUAAGUUUUCUCUUGAAUGUCAUGUGUUUUGAUGUCCGAUUUUUGGUUCUAGAUGUUCUUUUGGUGUUCUUAUUGCACCAUCGAGUUUAUAUGACGCUAUUACACUUGUGUGCAUAUUUGUCUUGGGGCCUGAGGGGCUCGGGUUAGUUUCAGAUAAGCUUCAGACCAUUUUUGAACUUGUGCAACAAUUAUUUCUGGUUCCUGGUGCAUUGUGCUUCGCGAUCACGAAGGGAAAAUUUGGGGUUAGGGCUGGUUACUCUCCACGAACGCGAGAGAAGGGCUUCAAAUGCGAUGGCUUAGGGGGACUGCCUUUUGCAAAUGAGAUGGACCACUUGCGAACGCGUAGAGUUGGGAUGGCUAGGGAGGCAGGUGAUGGUUUCUCUUCGUGAAUGCGGACCAAGGUUUGCAAAUGCGAUGGCUGGCUGGGAACUUAGCCUUCGAGAAUGCGAAGAGAACCUCGCCAACUCGAAGGCCAUUUUGGUCACUGUUCUUCGCGAACGCGUUAGGUGCUUCGCGAAUGCGAAGAACACCUGAUGCCGAGAUAUUUAAAGUGCUGAAAGUCGGGGUUGAACCAUUUUUUACAAUUUUUGAAGCUAGAGCUCGGCCUAGAGGAGAUUUUGAAGAGAAUUUUCAUUCCCACUUCAUUGGUUAGUGAUUUUCAAUUAGUUUUGAUGUAUUUCCAUUAUCACCCAUUGAUUUCUAACUUUUAAUCUAUGAAUUCCAUGGUAGAAAUUAGGGAUUUGGGUAGAAAUUAAGGAUUUUACAAAAUUGAAAUUUAAACCUCAAAUUGAGGUCAGAUUUCAAAACAUAUCACUGGGAUCGGGGGUGAAUGGGUAAUCGGGUUUUGGUUCGAAUCUCGGGUUCUGACCAAGCGGGCCUGAGGUUAACUUUUGUUGACUUUUUCCAAUUUUAUCAAAGAUUGAAUCUUUUUCACUCGUGGGUAGUUUCUAAAGCUUAUUUUGAAUUAUUUGAACUAUAUUUGGCUAGAUUUGACCGUUUUGGAGGCUAAUUCUAAAGGAAAUGCCGUGGUUGAGUAUUUAUUUGAUUGCGGAAAGAGGUAAGUGUUGGGCCUAACUUUGACUUAAGGGAAUUAGGAUUUGAUUGGUUUAAUUUCCACUUGAUUUAUGUGUGGGGACGGCGUAUAUGCUAGGUGAUGAGUGUAUAUGCAUAGUCGCGGGUUAAGCAUGUGGGUUGGGAUAUUUAUUUAUUGUUUUCAAUUAUUUCAUUCCUUUUAUUUAAUCCAUGUUAUUAAUUGUUAAUUGCAAUUACUUGUUGAAUUCAUUACUUUAUCUGUUACGUACCUUAAUUGUUAAUUGAUUCUUUGUAUCCGUGUCUUUAUUUAUUUACUGUCAUUACUUGCUAUUUGUAACAACCCAGCUGGUCAUUUUGUGAAUUGUAGCCCUGUUCCCCUUUUUAUCACUUCUUCUAUGUUAGUUUGUUGUUAUGUGACCUGCCAGGGUAGUUGGUUUAGUUUCGGGGAAGUUUCGGAGUGAAAUGGGAAACUUAAUCCCAAGGUUAAAGGCUUAAGUUGAAAGAGUGACUUAGGCGUAUGUCCGAAUAUUGAUUUGGAGGUCCGUAGGUUGGUUUGAGGCUUUUUGGUGAAAGUUGAAAAGUUGAAGAUUUGGAAGGUUGAGAGGUUUGACUAAGAGUUGACUUUGUCGAUAUAGGCUCGAUUUCGAUUCCGGGAAAUGGAGUAGGUCAGUUGUGUAAUUUAUGACUUAUGUGCAAAAUUUGAGGUUAUUCGGAAUCGGUUUGAUAUGAUUCAGCAUUAGUUUUAGAAGUUAGAAGUUCAUUAGUUCAUUAGGCUUGAAUCGAUGUGUGACUCGUGGUUUUGGUAUUGUUUAAUAUGAUUUGAGACUUCGAGCGAGUUCUAUUGUGUUUGAGAACUUGAUGGUAUGUUUGGUCAGGGUUCUGGGGGCCUUGAGUGUGAUUCGGUUGGUUGGCGAAAAAUGAUGGUUUUGCCCUAACUGCGAGGCCGUAGAAGCGGCAGCUUGAUCGCAGAAGAGGAUAUGGUUGGAAGCGGGGAGAUUUCAGAUACAUGCAUGAUUUCACAGAAGUAGAGUCACUUCUGCGAGGAAGGAACCGCAGAAGUGGAGGGAUCGCAAGUGCGAAGUAUUUUUCGUAGGAGCGGAUGCGCAAAUGCGGGGGACUGAUCGCAGAAGCGGUAGGUCGGGGACUUAAGUGGAAUGACAGAUGUGCGAUUUGGACCGCAAAAGCUGUCCUGUAGAAACGAAAAUGGGUCGCAGAAGCAGGAUCGCUGAACAUAUUUUAUAAUUGAGGGUUUGAGUUAUUUCUCUCAUUUUGGACUUGUGGAGCUCGGCUAAGGGCGGUUUUUGAAUGGGUUUUUGCUACAAUUGAAAGGUAAGGGAAGUUUAAUCACUUUUAAUGAUAAAUAUUGAUUACCCAUUGAUUAUUACGCCUAGUUAAUGUGAAUUUGAAGAGAAAUUUGGGGAUUUUAGACUAUGUUAUUGGAGAGUGAGAUUUGGUGAUUUGGGGGCCAAUUUGUGGAUGGAAUUAGAUGAAAGUAGUAUGGUUGGACUCGUAAUUGGAUGGUUUUUCGGAAUUUAUGAAUUUUGUCAGGUUCUGAGGUGUGGGCCCGGAGUUGACUAUUUUGGUUGACUUUUGCGUAUUUGAUUCAAGACCUUAACUUUAUCUUUUGGAAUUGUUUCCUAUAGGUAUUAUUGAUGCUAUUAAGUUGUUUGUGACUAGAUUCGAGUCGUUCGGAGGCCCAUUCGCGAGGCAAGGGCUUGUUGGAGCAUUGAGUCGUGCGCUUUGAGGUCAGUAACACAUCAAAACUUGGAUUUGAGGGUAUUUAACCCUGAGAACUACGUUAGAUGAAAGAUAUUGGGGUGUCGUACGUGCUAGGUGAUGACCGUGUGUGCGUGCACCGCUGUGUUCAUGGUUUAGGAGGCCUUUAGGCUAUUACCGGGCUUGUUUUCUAUCAUAUCUUGUUAUCCCCGUAUUUUCCCUAUUUUUUUGAUCAUUUGAACUGUGAUUCAUGUUAGACAUCAUGUCUAGGCUAAGUGAUAUUUGUUUGAGACUUGAUAGGGCUAUCUUGUUAUUUUAGAGCUAUAUGCCAUAUUUGUACACAAGUUCUCUGACAUGAUGCUAUAUCCGUGUAUGAUGUUUCUAUCUCAGUACUUCUUAUUUGAUUCCUCAUAUGUUGUUGAUGCCUCUUAUGUGUAACACUGUUAAACUGAGCAUUUUGAGAUGUGUUUAUCUAAAACAUGAACGGUAAAUGACUGAUUAUGGACCAUAGAGCCGGUUUGGUAUUUAUUUUGAGGUGAUGCGUAUGCCAGGCCUAUAUUAGGCUAAGUGUUAUUGUUCUGGGACGACGCAUGCACCAAGCUUCACUAUUGGGCUAAAUGAUUAUGAUUACAGCAUGGGCAGGAUCCGCUCCUCCGGAGUCUGACAUGCCAGCAGUGGGCGCAGAUACAGUGUUUUAUAUACGUGCUUUGAUGACGGGCAAUUAUGCCAGGAACCCGUACUGUGCUAAGUGUGAAUAUUGAUGGAUCCACUGUGACAUUGUUGAUUUACAUGUAUACUUGAUAUGUAGGCAUAGAGGUGUACCUUCCACAUACUAGCUGUUAAAUGAAAUAUUUUAUCUGUGUUGGGCUUUAGGUGUUAUACUUGAAAACAUGUCUAAAUUUCUGAAAUAUGAACAAGCUGAACAUGAUAUCAUUGAGAUACUUGUUUCUACGGUUUUUCCUUUAUAUUAUGAACUGCUAACGGUUAUUGAUAUUGGCAUUUGACUCCGGUUCUAAGCUCGUCACUGAUUUCAGCCCAAGGUUAGUGUUGUUACUUAUUGAGUACAUGGGAUCGGUCAUCCUCAUACUGCACUCUGCACUUCAUGUACAGAUCCAGGUACAUUAGGUCGAGGUGAUUUCCAGACUUGAGCUGUUGCCAGCCUUUUGGAGACCACGAGGUCGUUGCUAUGUCGUCCACAGUCCUUGGAGUUCUCGUUCAGUUAUUUCUCUCUUUAUUGUUCUAUUGUUCAAACAUUUGUAUUAGAGGACUUUUGCUUGUAUCUUGUUAUUCGGUAGUGGUCAUGUACUCGUUGACAUCUGAUUUUGGGGAUGGUUGUAGCAGUAUUAUGGUUUUAUUCUCAGAUACUUUAUGAUAUUUUUCCACUAUCGCCUUAUUGAACCAUGAUUAUUCGAUUUCAUUGUUAUUAUAUAACUGUUGUCUUACCUAGCGGGUUGUGUUAGGUGCCAUCAUGACUAGUGGAAUUAGGUUGAGACAAGUUGGUAUCAUAGCCCUAAGUUGCUUAGGUCUCAUGAGUCAUUAGCAAGUUUAGUAGUGUCUU
rnacentral:lncRNA from 1 species